rnacentral:rRNA from 1 species
AGGGGAAUAUUGCGCAAUGGGCGAAAGCCUGACGCAGCGACGCCGCGUGAGGGAUGAAGGUUUUCGGAUCGUAAACCUCUGUCAGAAGGGAAGAAACCGCACUGUGCUAAUCAGCAGUGCCUUGACGGUACCUUCAAAGGAAGCACCGGCUAACUCCGUGCCAGCAGCCGCGGUAAUACGGAGGGUGCAAGCGUUAAUCGGAAUUACUGGGCGUAAAGCGCACGUAGGCUGCUUUGUAAGUCAGGGGUGAAAUCCCACGGCUCAACCGUGGAACUGCCUUUGAUACUGCUUAGCUUGAAUCCGGGAGAGGGUGGCGGAAUUCCAGGUGUAGGAGUGAAAUCCGUAGAUAUCUGGAGGAACAUCAGUGGCGAAGGCGGCCACCUGGACCGGUAUUGACGCUGAGGUGCGAAAGCGUGGGGAGCAAACAGG